rnacentral:rRNA from 1 species
AUGCCUUUCGGUCUUUCUAAUGCUCCAAGUACAUUUAUGAGGUUGAUGAAUCAUGUAUUACGACCUUUUAUUGGAAAGUUUGUUGUCGUAUAUUUUGAUGACAUACUAGUAUAUAGCAGUAGCAUGGAAGACCACCUGCAGCACUUGAGAGAAGUGUUAUGCGCUUUACGGCGUGAGCAGUUGUAUGCUAAUCCAAAGAAGUGUGAGUUGUUGGUCUCUUCAGUCAAUUUCUUGGGGUUUAUUGUGUCUGGAAGAGGCUUACAAGUUGAUCCAAGCAAGGUUGAAGCAAUUCUUAGUUGGCCAGCUCCACGCACAUUAACUGAAGCUCGUAGCUUUCAUGGGCUUGCUUCUUUUUAUAGACGCUUUAUUCGCAACUUCAGCACAAUCAUGGCACCUUUCACUGAUUGCAUGAAACGAGGUGGAGCUUUUGUAUUAACGGAAGAAGCGAGGCAAGCUUUCGAGGAGAUUAAGGCCAAAGUGGCAUCUACUGAUUGUCUAGCCUUGCCGGAUUUUAACAAGUUGUUUGAAGUGGAUUGUGAUGCAUCAGGAAAAGGAAUUGGUGCUGUUCUUAGUCAAGAAUCUCGUCCUGUGUCUUUCUUCAGUGAGAAACUGACAUGUGCACAACUACACUAUUCAACUUAUGAAGCUGAGUUGUAUGCAGUGGUUCGAGCAUUGCAACACUGGAGGCAUUACCUACUACAUCAAGAGUUUAUUUUGUAUAGUGAUCAUGAAGCACUAAAAUACAUCCGAAAUCAGCCAAACCUGAACCGUAAACAUGCACGGUGGGCAAGCUUUUUGGAAGAGUAUAAUUUUGUACUCAAGCACAAAUCUGGAGCACAAAACAGGGUAGCUGAUGCACUGAGCCGCAGAGCACAAUGCCUAAGCAUGAUGAGGGUUCAAGUUGUUGGUUUUGACAGUAUUCCGGAGCUCUAUACUACUGAUCCCUUUUUCAACAAGAUUUAUGAGGCUGCUCAAGAAAGAAACUCUGCUGAAUAUACCAUCCAUGAAGGAUUUCUUUUUCGUGGGGUUCAACUCUGCAUUCCAAACAGCUCUGUACGUGAUCUGAUCAUAAAGGAGAUUCACAAUGAAGGGCAUCGAGGCCGAGACAAAUCUGUAGAACUAUUGCUGAAACAGUAUUUUUGGCCCCAUGCUCGACGAGAUAUGGAAAGGUUCGUGAAGAGAUGUCAUGUCUGUCAAGUUUCAAAAGGUACAACUACGAAUGCAGGUUUGUAUAUGCCCUUACCUGUACCUGAUGCACCAUGGAUAGAUAUAAGUAUGGAUUUUGUUCUAGGUCUCCCACAAACACAGCGUCGAGUGGACUCCAUCUUUGUCGUGGUAGACAGAUUCAGCAAAAUGGCGCACUUCAUAGCCUGCCGCAAGACAUCUGAUGCUAGUCAAAUUUCUGUUUUGUUCUUUCGAGAAAUAGUGUGGUUGCAUGGUGUGCCAAGGAGUAUCACCUCUGACCGAGACACCAAGUUCAUGUCUCAUUUUUGGCGAUCGUUGUGGAGACAAAUGGGAACUACUUUGAAUUUCAGCACGGCUUAUCAUCCACAGAGUCAAACUGAAGUGGUAAAUAGAAGCUUAGGGAAGAUGUUACGAGCUCUUGUAGGCGACAAGCCGAAACAAUGGGACACAAUUCUACCACAUGCUGAGUUUGCCUUCAAUAGAACACCGAAUCGUUCUACUGGACUAUGCCCCUUUGAGAUAAUUUAUGGUAGAGUCCCCAACGGAGUUCUAGAACUAGCACCUAUACCUGCCGUUGGAAAGAAAAUUUUGAAAGCAGAGAAUAUGGUAGAAGAGAUGGGCUCAAUUUAUAAACUUGUACAUCAACGAAUACAAGAAAGCAAUGCUAAAUAUAAGGCUGCAGCUGACCAACACCGUCGUCAGGUCGUGUUUGGAGAAGGAGAUUUGGUAUGGGCUAUCCUCACCAAAGAUCGUUUUCCCGCUGGAGAAUACAAUAAGUUAAGCCAGAGGAAAAUAGGACCGUGCAACGUGAUAAAAAGGGUUAAUAACAACGCGUAUAAACUGGAGCUACCUAGCCAUCUACGCACUUCUGAUGUGUUCAAUGUUAGGCAUCUUGUGCCAUAUCAUCAGGAAACAUCUGAAGUUCAGGUUUAA